UCGGGUUUUUAUAUCUGGUUUUCUAAAAAACAAAUUCAAUUUGGAAUAAAAAUACAACUAUUUUUAUAAUUAGAAGAUUAGGUUAAUCUUAAUUUUCAAAUAAUGAAUUUUAUAUAGAGCUCUAUUUUUUAUUCUUAUCUAAAUAGGCCCAAUAGUAGCUAUUUUAUUAAAGUAUUCUAACUAAAAUAAGAAUCCUAUAUUAUCUUAAAGCUCUUAAAUCAAUAUUAGAAAAUUAUUUAAAACUUCCCAAAUUAACUUAUUAUGAAAUUAUUAGUAAAAUAAUAUUAUACUAACCUAUAUUAGAUUUAUACUAUAAAAUCAUAUUUCUAUUUAAAUUUAUUUAAAGAACUAGGCAAAUUCUAUUCUCGCCUGUUUAACAAAAACAUGUCCUAGUGUAUAAAAUACUAGGUCUAGCCUGCCCACUGACACUAUGUUUAACGGCCGCGGUAUUUCUGACUGUGCCAAGGUAGCAU
rnacentral:rRNA from 1 species